UGUAAGCGUAUACCAAAGUUGUUGCAGUUAAAACGCUCGUAGUCGGAAUUUGGCAGUUCCGGAAGUGUGCACGUCGUGUGCGCACUUUGCGGGGACUGCUUUUGUGGUCUUGCGUAGGAUGAGGCACUUUCAUUAGUGAACGUCCUCACGCAACCACUCUUUACUGUGAGAAAAUCAGAGUGCUCUAAGCAGGCAUUUGCCGUGAAUGUAUUAGCAUGGAAUAAUAGAAUAGGACUCGGUUCUAUUUUGUUGGUUUGUUGGGACUGAGUAAUGAUUAAGAGGGACAGUUGGGGGCAUUUGUAUUCCGGCGCUAGAGGUGAAAUUCUUAGAUUGCCGGAAGACAAACUGCUGCGAAAGCGUCUGCCAAGGAUGUUUUCAUUGA
rnacentral:rRNA from 1 species